UUACGGCCAUAUCACGUUGAAACAUCAGUUCCCGUACGAUCACGAAGUUAAGCAAUGUUGAACUUGAUCAGGAACUAGAUGAGUGACCGCUUGGUAAUACCAGGUACUGCAAG